CCUCCUCCCUGUGGGAGAAUUGUGCUCUUGUCUUUUGAUGUCGGACUUGACCCCAUGAUUUCCUCUGGUCAAUGAAAUGUAAUUAGAAGUAACUCAGGGCACUUGUGAGCAGAAGGUUUAAGAGGCAGCACCUGGUUCACUCUGUCUUUUUCCCUUCGCUAUGAGACUGGCAAGGUUCCAGAUAGCAACUGUUCUAGCAGCCAGGGUCCUGGAGAGAAGUCAACAUGAAGCAGAGCCACAGAUACGCCACAGAUAAGCUUAUGUAAUGAAGUGAUGAAUGCAACUACUUCCUUCUGCAUAUUGCCAUUCAAGGAGCCAUGGGUAGAACAAGAAGAGUAGUACCAUCCAUGCAAGGAACGAUCAUCACUCCUGAAGUGUGGUUUAAGAGUAACCUGGAAAAGCACAGUAUCACCCUUUCAAUAAAAGGCAAGAACGGACACCAAUGGGAAGAGCCCAUAGCCUUGCAGAACAAUAAUCUGAGAAGUCCUUAAGUCAUUUCAGGAAAUGGUUGCAGCCUGCUGGGGGACUGCCUGAUAUGUAGUGAGGCUCCUGUGAAAGAGAUGGAAUGGCCAAUUUCAGUGUCAGUGAAAUGGGUAGGCACACAGUGAAAUGUAGUGGGUACACAGGAUAAAAGAUGCCUGCUGUCACUCACCUCUGCUGCCCUCAGGAACUAUAGACCAGAGGUGGCAACACAGUGGGAACACUGACAAGUCCAUACAUGUGGCUUGAACUCAAGGUUUGACGAUGUCCUCAAGAGCUCUAAAAUUGUCUCAGGUCCCAUGUAAGUGAGAAUUUUCCUAAACAUCGUUAUCACCAAGGUCAUCGUUAUUCUGGUGGUCUAAUCUUGCUUCUUCCUGUGAAAGAAAUAUUGCAUUUGCCUGAAGAGGAGAACUCUUGCCAGUGCCAAGCCAUACAGCUCUGAGAUAACCCUAUAGAAUCAUAUUCCAGGGAUCUGGAACCUAUGUAUGGUGUAGAAAAUAGGAGAGCGUACCUAAGGGUUUUGAAAAACUGAGAUGGGUUCCCAUGUUGGAUCUGGGGCUAAUUUAGGAGCAGAUAUGACCUUGGAUUUCUUUGCCUGAAGAGCACUGUUAAUCUCUGCUGAUUCCAGGCAGAGGAAGGGAAGCAUCUCUAAAUCAGGGGGCACUAUGAGUAUACUGAGGCCUCGAGACCAGGGCAGAGGUCUGAGGGUGAUAGCAUAACUAGGGCUGAGCAUAGGCUAGGUUCAGUAGUAGCAAAAUAAUGGACAUGGUUUUGCCUGCUUAUUAAAGGAAACAUUAGAAAUUUAUUAAUGUGAUAAAUUCUCUAUUGUCUUGUAUGUUAAGGUGACUAUAUCUUAAACACUUGAAGUUGUUUAAUUAUAUGAAUGCAUCUAGGUACACAUAUAUACAUAUGUAGAAUAUUAAAUUAUAAAGAAAACAAAUAAUGAAGAGAAAAAUAAGAAAAAAUGGUAUUUAAGUAUAAAAUCUGUUCUUAAUAAAACCAUAGCAUUAUUGUACAAAGCUUGGUCAUAGAGAUGUGCAAGUCUAUGUGUCAGACCCUACUUUUUUGGGAGAAGCCAAGCUAAGACAAAUAUACAAAAUGCCUCUGCUGAGUCACUUUACUUUUCAUGGAAAUGUAGUAAUUUAUGUAUAUUUCAUAAGAAUUUGUCUUCUUUCCCAAAAAUAUAUAACUGGACAAAUCGAAUUAGUAAUCGUGGCAAUGAUAAAAAUGUCACAUUUAAAUAUAUAUAUCAUUCCACAGACAUAAUAAGCCUGCUAUAAAGAAACAGGGACUUACACAAGCACUCCCAGGAAAAGGGCCUCAUACCUGAUCUGUGGCUUACGCCAUCCACACCUCAUAGGCUGCGUGUGGGAAAAUUGCCCUCAUACAGUGUGGCCUUGUGGAAGACAACAUAAAAUUCUAAAAAAAUACAUAAAACUGAUAUCAUUUUAAUAUGUUUUGGAUUGUAUCCUUUAACAACUUUUUAGUAUGGUAUCUUUCAGAUAUUUUUAUAAGUACCUAACAAUUAACAUACACAGGAGAGUACACACACACUAAUUUGUGUACACCUAAAUACACACACACACACACCCCUCUAAACAGGGCUUUAGAUGUCUUAAAAGUGAUAUGAACAAAAAUUUGCAGUAGAGAAGAAUCAUGUUUUUUACCUUUCAAAGGAUCUGUUUUUAUUUUCUCUAGAAAUUAUACAUGAUAAUUUAUAUUCUUGUUACUAUAUGUAUAGUAUUGGGUACAUGCUUGCCUAUGUGAAUCUUUUAAAUUGUUUUAAACUAUAAAAGUCCACUCUAUUGCCAGGCAUGUUUUGCUCAGUUACUUAAAGUGGUUGAGAUGAUAGAAUUAAGACCAUAAGGUUAAUUAAGAUACAUUUUGUUGCAUAGCCACUAAACAUGUUCCUAACAGCGGUCAGUGAAAUCACACUGAAUAUGCAGUACAUGCACUCAAACUGAACUUCAAAGGCAAAUGGUUCUAAUAUGGUAAUGGUCACAUUUGUUCUAUUUUUGAGUGGAAUGCUACAAACUGAUCCAGUAUUUAUGAAGGAACCUAAAUUUGUGCUUUAGAUAUUAAUCACAAAUAUGGCUCUUCAUUUGUCUGAUAUCACAAAAGUUGAUAAAUUUUAAGUGUUCUGGGCCUCUUUUAAUGUCUGAAAAGACUAUUCUUUGACCAUUGUUUCCUGCUUUUAGAAGCAAUCAAAAUAUAAUAUAAACCAAAGUAGAAUUCGCUGAUCUUUGUAACUUAAAAUGUAAAAGAGUCAAAAAAAUUGGUCACAUUAAAAAAAUUUUUACUAAAUAAAUAUAAGGCAAAACAUUGCUUAAAAAUAUGAAUAUAGUCAUGUUGAGGAAAACCAGUAUUUUCAGUAUGAAUGAGAAAUAAUUAAUAAGAAUGACUAUCUGUAGGCAUAAAACAUUUAAUAUAAUUUUUGUUCUUUUCUCCAUUUUUCUACUCUGAAAAAUGCAUUUAUUUUCUUUACAAAAAAGUACAAGAUAGGCCGGGCGCGGUGGCCCAUGCCUGUAAUCCCAGCACUUUGGGAGGCCUAGGCGGGCGAAUCAGUUAAGGUCAGGAGUUCCAGACCAGCCUGGCCAACAUGGUAAAACCCUGUCUCUACUAAAAUACAAAUAUUAGCUGGGCGUGGUAGCAUACAUCUGUAAUCCCAGCUACUUGAGAGUCUGAGGCAGGAGAAUUGCUAGAGCCCAGGAGGCAGAGGUUGCAGUGAGCCAAGAUCACACCACUGCACUCCGACCUGGGCAACACAGUGAAACUCCAUCUCAAAAAA
rnacentral:lncRNA from 10 species